rnacentral:lncRNA from 1 species
AAUAAUCAAACUGAAAAUCAUAAUGCUACCAAGUACUUCCUCAUUUGCCCUUUAAAGACAAAGAUAAAAGACACAUAUUUUCUUUUACAUGUAACAUAUUGUUAUGCUUAUUAACAAUUUCAGGGGGCUCAGAAAUAUUCCUUUGCUUCGAGUGUUCUCCAUCUGGAAGAGUUUAGCUAAUUAAACCAAAGAUCAUGGAUGAGUUGGCCCCAUUUAUCUCCAGUGGAUGAAAUCCUUUUCUCUCCCGAGGAUUCUUCAGACAAAUAUCAAAGCUUUGCUGGGAUACCUACCCUUGAAGAAUUGAUCACCUAAUAGGGGUACAGAACACAGCCGCCGAAGCAGAAAUUUAUCU